rnacentral:tmRNA from 1 species
UCACUUUAUAUUCAGGAAUAAUCCUCUAUAUGGGCUGCGUCGGCUUCGGUCGGCUAUGGCGAUAAACUGCACUGUGCAAUAGGCGCAACGGACCCGGGGGCAGUACCCGGCGGCUCCACCAUAACUCCCGCAAUCCACGGGGUUUCUGACGGGGCCGAACCAGGAUCGACGUGUGUUGAAAAGCAGUGUUUUUGCCCGGGCUGAGUAACCCGUUUAAGGCUCAAAACACACAAGUGCCAAUGAUAAUGAAGCACUCGCUAUUGCUGCGUAAUUUUAAGGCCUAACGGUCUGAAAUUAUAAAGCUAAUGCGCGGUUGGACCCACCGGGCAACAGAAGGGAUACC